rnacentral:lncRNA from 10 species
AGACGGAGACAAGCCAAGUGAUUCUGAGCCCCUGGAAUCAUAGUCAAAGGUGAUCCAUCCAAUUUGGAGGAAAUAACUUCAUUAAAAAAAUUAAUUCACCUAUUAGAAUGGCUAAAAUCCUCAAACAGUGACAACACCAAAUGCUGGCGAGGAUGUGGAGCAACAGUAACACUCAUUGCUGGUGGGAAUGCAAAACGGUACAGCCACUUGGAAGACAGUUUCGCGUUUCUUACAAAACUAAACUUAUGAUUGCCAUGUAAUCCAGCAAUAGCUCCCUUUGAUAUUUAACAAAAGGAGUUGAAAACUUACGUCCACACAAAAACUUACACAUGAGUGUUAUAGCAGCUUAUUCAUAAUUACCCACACUUGGAAGCAAUCAAAAUGCCCUUUAGUGGGUGAAUAAAUAAACGUGGCACAUCCCACAUCCGGGCAAUGGAAUAUUAUUCAGUGCUAAAUACAAAUGAGCUAUCAAGCCAUGAAAAGACAUGGAGGAAACUUAAAUGCUUAUUACUAAGUGGAAGAAGGCAGUAUGAAAUGGCUAUAUACUGUAUGAUUCCAAUUACAUUUUGGAAAAAGAAAAACUCUGCCAAUAGAAAAAAGAUUAGUGGUUGUGAGGACUUAAGAGGGAGGGAGGGAUGAAUAGGCCGAGCCCAGAGGAUUUUUAGGGCAGUGGAACUGUCUUGUAUGAUACUAUAAUGGUAGGUACAUGUCAACAUGCUUGUUAAAACCCAUGAGUGUACAUCAAGAAUGAGCAUUAAUGUAACGUAAACUUUACAUGGGUAGUAAUGAUGUGUCAGUGUAGGCUCAUCAACUGUAACCAAUGUACCACUGUGGUUUGGAAAUGUCAAUAGUGGGGGAGGCUGUGCAUGUGGG